rnacentral:misc_RNA from 1 species
GAACGCACCUUGCACUCCUUUGGAGUAUGCCUGUUUGAGAAUCUAUAGUAUUCAUUUUUGCCUAGGACUCUUUACGACGACUAGCAAGAGAUGUGAGGUUCCCUAUCUCCCGAGAUAGGGUGCCUUGAAAUAGAUUGCCUCUGCCCUGUAGAAAAUGACGACAUUUUUCACAACCUUGGAAAAAGUAUUUGAAUGGAACCUUGGUUUCUUAUGAUGCCUAUUACCUGGGAGAAAGAAAGAGUUUACUCGGGGUGAGAUGUCCAUACAUAACCAUAAGCACUUUAGUGCUUGAACCAUGGUCUCAAAUCAGGUAGGAAGACCCGCUGAACUUA